AGGGUUUAUAAGGAACGCGGAACAAUUCAACGGUCUUUUCUAUCCUGCGGAUGCGUCUGCUGAAGGAUUCAAGGGACUGGUGAACCUUUCACAGGUCCUCUUUGGCCUGCUUAUGAAUUAUUGAAUGGAGGAGAAAUAGAAAUCCUGGGCUGGACUAAGGGCGGGUCAUGCCGCCCCCUGGAUGGUGUCAUCAUGAGGACACGACAGAUUGGACUUGGCCUUCACUAUGGAGUAACACUGUUGGUGCUUGCCUAUGGGGGUGCUAGGCGGAUGUGUCCUGUUUCCAUGCUGAGUCAGCAGGGGGCGACGUGUGCAGAACCAGGGCUGCAGAAAUGCAGUGUCCUCGAAAUCACUAACUGAACUACAGACUACCGAAGCAAACCACAAAAAGCCAAACUAUUUUCCACUUCCCCUUUCCCCUUGGCUUCUGGUGGUCUGCAUGCUUGGUUUGGUGGGCUCGAGGGAGUGGCCUGCUGACAUUAUAAUUCAAUAAUUCAAUAAACAAGGCAUAAUUUCUUGAAAAAAACCAUAAAACUGUAACAAUAAAAACUGUAAAAA